rnacentral:lncRNA from 1 species
AAAAACCCUAAUUUUGAAGAGGAUUGGCGGCUACCAUUCAGAAAAGAGAAGGAGAGAAUUGAAAGCAACGCUUGCCUACAUUCAUCGGUCGAGCUCGCCGCAACCGGUUAGCUUCCUUUCCGAGCUUUAUUUCUAUGUUUCAAUUCUGCUUUGCAUUCUUAUGAAGUAACCGUGGUUGUUGUUCUGAUUUGAUUUCAUUGAGUAAUACCGCCGCAUGUUUGUUGUGAUGUUAUCUUGCUGUUAAAAUUGAUGUUUCAAAAAUGGAAAGAAAAAAUAUCGUUGAAUGAAGAUGAAAAUGGUUAUAAGAACCUGCUACUGUUUUGUAACUUUGUGCUUUAUUUAAGAGUUUGGUUCAUUUUUAUGUUAUGUAUUAGUGCUUGAGUUCAUAUAACAAGGAUGCUUGUAUGGCUGAGUUGGUAAAGGAAUGCUUUGGCAAACCCU